rnacentral:rRNA from 1 species
UACGGGGGGGGCAAGCGUUGUUCGGAAUUACUGGGCGUAAAGGGCGCGUAGGCGGCCUUCUAAGUCGGACGUGAAAUCCCUCGGCUCAACCGAGGAACUGCGUCUGAUACUGGAAGGCUUGAAUCCGGGAGAGGUGAGUGGAACUGCGAGUGUAGAGGUGAAAUUCGUAGAUAUUCGCAAGAACACCAGUGGCGAAGGCGGCUCACUGGCCCGGUACUGACGCUGAGGUGCGAAAGCGUGGGGAGCAAACAGG